rnacentral:rRNA from 1 species
GACAGAGGGUGCAACCGUUGUUCGGAAUUACUGGGCGUAAAGCGAGUGUAGGCGGUCCGCUAAGUCGGGUGUGAAAGCCCUGGGCUCAACCCAGGAAGUGCACUCGAAACUGGCGGGCUAGAGUAUCGGAGAGGUUGGUGGAAUUCUCGGUGUAGAGGUGAAAUUCGUAGAUAUCGAGAGGAACACCGGUGGCGAAGGCGGCCAACUGGACGAAUACUGACGCUGAGACUCGAAAGCGUGGGGAGCAAACAGG